rnacentral:misc_RNA from 1 species
GAUGAAGAACGCAGCGAAAUGCGAUACGUAAUGUGAAUUGUAGAAUUCAGUGAAUCAUCGAGUAUUUGAACGCACAUUGCGCCCCCUGGUAUUCCGGGGGGCAUGCCUGUCCGAGCGUCAUUGCUGCCCUCAAGCCCGGCUUGUGUGUUGGGUCUCGUCCCCCUUCCCGGGGGGACGGGCCCGAAAGGCAGCGGCGGCACCGCGUCCGGUCCUCGAGCGUAUGGGGCUUUGUCACCCGCUCUGUAGGCCCGGCCGGCGCUUGCCGAUCAACCAAAACUUUUUUCCAGGUUGACCUCGGAUCAGGUAGGGAUACCCGCUGAACUUAAGCAUAUCAAUAAGCGGAGGA